GACGAACGCUGGCGGCGUGCUUAACACAUGCAAGUCGAACGGAAAGGCCCUGCUUUUGUGGGGUGCUCGAGUGGCGAUCGGGUGAGUAACACGUGAGUAACCUGCCCUUGACUUUGGGAUAACUUCAGGAAACUGGGGUUAAUACCGGAUAGGAGCUCCUGCUGCAUGGUGGGGGUUGGAAAUUUUCGGCGGGUGGGGCUGGACGCGCGGCUUAUCAGCUUGCUGGUGGGGUAGUGGCCUACCAAGGCUUUGACGGGUAGCCGGCCUGAGAGGGUUACCGGCGACAUUGGGACUGAGAUACGGCCCAGACGACUACGGGAGGCAGCAGUGGGGAAUAUUGCACAAUGGGCGGAAGCCUGAUGCAAAAACGCCGCGUGCGGGAAGACGGCCUUCGGGUUGUAAACCGCUUUCGCCUAUGACGAAGCGUGAGUGACGGUAAUGGGUAAAGAAGCACCGGCUAACUACGUG
rnacentral:rRNA from 1 species